rnacentral:rRNA from 1 species
UACGUAGGGACCGAGCGUUGUCCGGAUUCAUUGGGCGUAAAGAGCUCGUAGGCGGCUGUUCAAGUCGAACGUGAAAACUCGGAGCUCAACUCCGAGCCUGCGUUCGAUACUGGACGGCUAGAGUCUGGUAGGGGGAUCUGGAAUUCCUGGUGUAGCGGUGGAAUGCGCAGAUAUCAGGAGGAACACCGGUGGCGAAGGCGGGAUCCUGGGCCAGUACUGACGCUGAGGCGCGAAAGCUAGGGGAGCGAACGGG